rnacentral:rRNA from 1 species
CAGUCGCCGCGGUAAUACGUAGGUGGCAAGCGUUGUCCGGAAUUAUUGGGCGUAAAGCGCGCGCAGGUGGUUUAAUAAGUCUGAUGUGAAAGCCCACGGCUCAACCGUGGAGGGUCAUUGGAAACUGUUAAACUUGAGUGCAGGAGAGAAAAGUGGAAUUCCUAGUGUAGCGGUGAAAUGCGUAGAGAUUAGGAGGAACACCAGUGGCGAAGGCGGCUUUUUGGCCUGUAACUGACACUGAGGCGCGAAAGCUAGGGGAGCAAAUGGGAUUAGAUACCCCGGUAGUCCCUGUCUCUUAUAA